rnacentral:lncRNA from 1 species
CCAGGCUGGAGUGCAGUGGCAUGAUCUCCGCUCACUGCAAGCUCCACCUCCUGGGUUCACGCCAUUUUCCUGCCUCAGCCUCUCCCAGUAGCUAGGAUUGCAGGUGCAUGCCACCACGCCCGGCUAAUUUUUUGUAUUUUUAGUAGAGACAGGGUUUCACCGUUGUCUCAAUCUCCUGACCUCGUGAUCUGCCUGCCUCAGCCUCCCAAAGUGCUGUGAUUACAAGCGUGAGCCACCACGCCCCACCGCCACUGUACCUUUCCAUGUCCUCUUCAUCUCUGGCAUCGGGGACUCCCCUUUCUUGAUUUGAAGAAAUGGUUUUCAAUCUUGGCUUAUAUUUACAUUCAACUGGGGACAUUUUUUAAAAUCCCAAGACACAACCCAGACCAAUUACAUUCAAACCUCUGGCAUAAAAAGUGAGGUUUUAAAAAUAUAUUAUACAAAUAAUCGUACAAUAGGUACCUAGAUAUGUAAAAGCUCAUAAAGGUAUAACUUGAGUUAUCAAAAUAUCGUGAGCCCUGCUCUAGUACUGCUGCCUGUGUUAGGUGCUUCUGGACUCUGGUUCUAACAGUGGGAGGUUGUGUUUGUGAUCAUUUCUAGGCACAACUUUAAUCUGGAAAUAAAAUAGUCAUUUUGGCUUUCUCUUUCAGCCUCCUACGUGAGAGUUUCCCAAUUCUAAGAACAUUCUGAUGUUCUAUGCCACAUCUUGCAAUUGGGUAUGAACAAUUUUUCAAUAAUAGCAAAUAAAUGAGUCUUCUCAGUGUAUCUUCAUCUUGUCACCACUGCUGAAGAGCGUGAUUCUCCUCUAGCCUAGACAUGAGCUUCGACUGCUGUUCAGUUACUCCAGUAAACUCCAGGAUACUUAUUAAUGAUGGUAACAGCAGCCAACAAGUAUUAAGAACUUUUGCUAUUAAACUUCCCUGCUACCAUUGGGACCAAGAAUCUGGACAACAAAUUUUCUAUUUUUAUUUUUUAUUUUCCUUCCAUAAAUGCUGUUCAACAUAAACGGGCUGGGUUGAAUUGAAUCGGGCAGAGUUGACAGAACACAGGACCAGGAAGCAGGUCACCCAAGCUGCUGGCCCUGCCAUGGCUCCUGGUGGACGUGAGGGAGGUGAGUUUCCUCUCUAUGCUCCAGGUGGAGUUACCUUAUAUGGUCUUAAGAUCUGUCUAUUAAGAAGAGCACUUAGUGCAUUUACAUUUAAUGUCAUUACUGACAUAUUUGAGUUAAAU